rnacentral:rRNA from 1 species
AUUGAACGCUGGCGGCAGGCCUAACACAUGCAAGUCGAGCGAGCGGCGGACGGGUGAGUAAUGUAUGGGGACUGCCCGAUAGCGGGGGAUAACUACUGGAAACGGUAGCUAAUACCGCAUACUAUCGGAUAACCCAUAUGGGAUUAGCUAGUAGGUGAGGUAAUGGCUCACCUAGGCGACGAUCCCUAGCUGGUCUGCGAGGAUGAUCAGCCACACGGGGACUGAGACACGGCACAGACUCCUACGGAGGCAGCAGUGGGGAAGAUUGCACGAUGGGCGCAAGCAGGAUGCAGCCAUGCCGCGUGUAUGAAGAAGGCCCUAGGGUUGUAAAGUACUUUCAGUCGGGAGGCGUUACCGACAGAAGAAGCACCGGCUAACUCCGUGUCAGCCGCCGCGGUAAUAC